UACGUAGGGGGCAAGCGUUGUCCGGAUUUACUGGGCGUAAAGAGCGUGUAGGCGGCCAAACAUGUCCGUUGUGAAAACUGGAGGCUUAACCUCCAGACGUCGACGGAAACCGUGUGGCUAGAGUCCGGAAGAGGAGAGUGGAAUUCCUGGUGUAGCGGUGAAAUGCGCAGAUAUCAGGGAGAACACCAAUGGCGAAGGCAGCUCUCUGGGACGGUACUGACGCUGAGACGCGAAAGCGUGGGGAGCGAACAGG
rnacentral:rRNA from 1 species